ensembl:lncRNA
GAGAUCUAACAAAAACACUACAGAAGUGAACAAAAAGUAAACAUAAAAAUAUAUAAAAUCAUUAAAAGCACUUCCAGAAUAUAAGAGAAAUUAAUGCUUAAUCGAAUUGUUCAAAAUAAUUUCUUAAACCAAAUGUUUUAAAACUUGUUGAAUAACAUUUGGUUGACUAAGGACAAUAUCUAAAUGAUUUUCAAAGAGAGGUAAUUAUAGAGAGCAUACAAAGUAUACAACAAUACCUGUCUUUUUCUUGAUGAACGCUGCCUCACAGGUGAGGAUGAGGAUGAUGUAGCAGUCACAGGGGCAGGUGAUGAACUUUUCCUCACAGGUGAGGAUGAGGAUGAUGUAGCAGUCACAGGAGCAGGUGAUGAACGUUUCCUCACAGGUGAGGAUGAGGAUGAUGUAGCAGUCACAGGGGCAGGUGAUGAACGUUUCCUCACAGGUGAGGAUGAGGAUGAUGUAGCAGUCACAGGGGCAGGUGAUGAACGUUUCCUCACAGGUGAGGAUGAGGAUGAUGUAGCAGUAACAGGGGCAGGUGAUGAACUUUUCCUCACAGGUGAGGAUGAGAAUGAUGUAGCAGUAACAGGGGCAGGUGAUGAACUUUUCCUCACAGAUGAGGAUGAGAAUGAUGUAGCAGUAACAGGGGCAGGUGAUGAACUUUUCCUCACAGGUGAGGAUGAGGAUGAUGUAGCAGUAACAGGGGCAGGUGAUGAACGCUGCACAGAAGACCAAAGACACAAAAAAAAUACCACAGAUGUAAACAAAAAGUAAAUAUAAAUGCUUGCUUAAUUCAAAGUGCAUUGAUUUAGUUUAAGGGCAAGACAAAUGCAUUUGGAACAAAUAAUGUUUAAAACACAAAAGGGAGGAGAAAAUAAUGUAGAAUAAUCUUUUGAAACACUGAUAAUAAUUUUAAAUCUUUUAGUUACCAAACAACUAUACAAAGCUUUUGCAAAAAAAGCUUGAAAAGCUUGAAGAGUUCUAUGUACAGAACAUACAGAAAGACAGUCAGAUAUCAAUACGACAACAGAUUUGAGAAAUGAGAGUACCUUGGCUUGCCAAUCCCAGUCUCCAUAGCUGUAAGUAAUCUCUUCUCCUGGUUUAAUGUC